GGGUAAGUCUUGCACGACCAGCUCCCUUUGAAUUCCCCCAGGGUCGGAAGGCAGCAAGGGUAAAAGGUUGUAGCGGUGCGAUGCAAUCCGCUUA
rnacentral:SRP_RNA from 1 species